rnacentral:rRNA from 1 species
UGGUUAGUGGCGCACGGGUGAGUAACACGUGACUAAUCUACCCCGAACUGGGGAAUAACGCUGGGAAACUGGCGCUAAUACCGCAUGUUGAGCUUGAGGGACAUCCCUUGGGCUUGAAAGCUUCGGCGGUUCGGGAUGAGGUCGCGUCCCAUUAGCUUGUUGGUGAGGUAACGGCUCACCAAGGCGACGAUGGGUAGCUGAUCUGAGAGGAUGGUCAGCCACACUGGGACUGAGAUACGGCCCAGACUCCUACGGGAGGCAGCAGUGAGGAAUAUUGCGCAAUGGGCGAAAGCCUGACGCAGCAACGCCGCGUGGAGGAUGAAGGUGCUUUGCAUUGUAAACUCCUGUAAGAGGGGACGAACAACCCACCGUCUGGUGGGCCUGACGGUACCCUCAAAGUAAGCACCGGCUAAUUCCGUGCCAGCAGCCGCGGUAAUACGGAAGGUGCAAGCGUUGUCCGGAUUUACUGGGUGUAAAGGGCGUGUAGGCGGAGUGGUAUGUCAGAAGUGAAAUCGUACGGCUUAACCGUUGCAAGUGCUUCUGAAACUGCCACCCU